rnacentral:rRNA from 1 species
AUGUUCAUGUCAAAGUACUUUCAUACUAUCAUCGUUGGUUCAACAUCCACAACUGCACAACUUUAUAGGGAGUGCAUACAUCCUAAGAUUCCACAACUUGCGGUCCUCGGAUAUUCUGACAACUAUGCGAAUGUCUACACUUCAGAACUACGGUCUAAGUGGCUAGCAUAUUUCAUGGAUGGUGGAUUUAGAUUACCAAGUGUUGAAGCAAUGCAGAGGGAUGUACUUGAAUGCGAGAAGGUAAUGAAGCAUUACUCCCGUGACGAAUCACGUACACCGUGCACUGGACUUCUUCCUACUUGGUACAAUGAUAGAUUAUGUGAAGACAUGGGAUGCAACCCGAGAAGGAAGAAUGGAUUUUUUGCCGAAUUAUUUGAGGCCUAUGGUCCCGAUGAUUAUAGCGAUCUUCACCCUAAGGUUUGUGUCAUGUUCGAAAAGACGAGGCGGCGGUGGCUUCUUGAAGAUGGAAUAAGGUCCUCCCCGUCUAGCCCCCGUUCCAGUGAUGUUUCAAGCGUGGUUGGAAGGCAUGUAAAGGUUUGUCUCCGAUGGAUCUCGUGGGAUCCGGUUGGCGUUUGUCUUCAGUGGAUUCGACUGGAUCCGGUCAACAUUCGUCUACGUCCGUGUGUCUGCAGGUUGGAUCCUUCCGAUUUGCACUUCUCUUCAUCGACGGCGGCUGUUGUUCUGUUGCGCUGGUCCUAUGGGACCUUAGCACGACGACUUCCCGACUGUCUACUACAAUAA